rnacentral:rRNA from 1 species
UACGUAGGGUGCAGGCGUUAAUCGGAAUUACUGGGCGUAAAGCGUGCGCAGGCGGUCUCUUAAGACAGGUGUGAAAGCCCGGGGCUUAACCCCGGGUCUGCAUUCGAUACGGGCUAGCUAGAGUGUGGUAGGGGAGAUCGGAAUUCCUGGUGUAGCGGUGAAAUGCGCAGAUAUCAGGAAGAACCCCGGUGGCGAAAGCGUUCUGCUAGACCUGUACUGACACUGAGGGACGAAAGCUAGGGGAGCGAAUGGG